UCACCUCUGACACGUGUGUCAUAGGUUCGCCAUCACUGCUCUAACCAGUCAGGGCCAAUAAGUUAAUGAGCUACCUGGUUGGGUAGCUCAGUUGGUUAGAGCGUCAUUCCAAUACCCCAAGGUUACAUGUUCAAUC